GUGAGUCAUCGAAUCUUUGAACGCAUAUUGCGCUCAAGGCCUCGGCCAAGAGCAUGUCUGCCUCAGCGUCGGGUUUCAACUCAUGUCCAUCAUCGAUUGCCCAAUCUCUGGGUGGUUGCAUGGGGACGUGGACUUGGCAGUUUCCUUGUGCCAUUACAGGCACACAGGGAUCUGCUUAAACGUUAUGUUGCUUCGCCUCUCUCCUAUGAGUCGCAGCCGAGUAGUCAACUCGUUUGAUUGCUUGUCAGUCUGUGGUGACUUAGUUGUGAGGGCAGGGUGUCCUUGUGACAGUCUGUUAAG
rnacentral:misc_RNA from 1 species